rnacentral:tRNA from 1 species
GUUGAUGUGUCGGAGUGGUUAACGAGACAGACUUGAACUAUUUGUUCAGCUAUCUGUUGCCUUCGGGCGCGCAGGUUCGAGUCCUGUCAUCAACG